GAUGAACGCUGGCGGCGUGCCUAAUACAUGCCAGUCGAGCGAGCAGAUGAGGAGCUUGCUCCUCUGACGUUAGCGGCGGACGGGUGAGUAACACGUGGAUAACCUACCUAUAAGACUGGGAUAACUUCGGGAAACCGGAGCUAAUACCGGAUAAUAUAUUGAACCGCAUGGUUCAAUAGUGAAAGACGGUUUUGCUGUCACUUAUAGAUGGAUCCGCGCCGCAUUAGCUAGUUGGUAAGGUAACGGCUUACCAAGGCGACGAUGCGUAGCCGACCUGAGAGGGUGAUCGGCCACACUGGAACUGAGACACGGUCCAGACUCCUACGGGAGGCAGCAGUAGGGAAUCUUCCGCAAUGGGCGAAAGCCUGACGGAGCAACGCCGCGUGAGUGAUGAAGGUCUUCGGAUCGUAAAACUCUGUUAUUAGGGAAGAACAAAUGUGUAAGUAACUAUGCACGUCUUGACGGUACCUAAUCAGAAAGCCACGGCUAACUACGUG
rnacentral:rRNA from 1 species